GAUGAACGCUAGCGAUAGGCCUAACACAUGCAAGUCGAGGGGCAGCACAUGAAGUAGCAAUACGGAUGGUGGCGACCGGCGCACGGGUGAGUAACGCGUAUGCAACCUGCCUACAACAGGGGAAUAACCCGUUGAAAGACGGACUAAUACCCCAUAACACAGGGAUCCCGCAUGGGAAUAUUUGUUAAAGAUUUAUCGGUUGUAGAUGGGCAUGCGUUCCAUUAGCUUGUUGGUGAGGUAACGGCUCACCAAGGCAACGAUGGAUAGGGGAACUGAGAGGUUUAUCCCCCACACUGGUACUGAGACACGGACCAGACUCCUACGGGAGGCAGCAGUGAGGAAUAUUGGUCAAUGGACGCAAGUCUGAACCAGCCACGUCGCGUGAAGGAAGACGGCCCUACGGGUUGUAAACUUCUUUUGUAAGGGAAUAAAGUGUAGUACGUGUACUAUUUUGCAUGUACCUUACGAAUAAGGAUCGGCUAACUCCGUGCCAGCAGCCGCGGUAAUACGGAGGAUCCGAGCGUUAUCCGGAUUUAUUGGGUUUAAAGGGUGCGUAGGCGGCUUUUUAAGUCAGCGGUGAAAUUUUGCAGCUUAACUGUAACAG
rnacentral:rRNA from 1 species